rnacentral:rRNA from 1 species
UACCUGCGCCACAAAUGGUAACCGAUUUUAUUGGGUUUAGAGUGUCCGUAGCCGGCUUAGUGAGUCCCUGGUGAAAUCUGGCAGCUAACUGUCAGGAGUGCUGGGGAUACUGCUAGGCUUGAGAUCGGGAUAGGGUAAAGGUAUUCCACGUGUAGGAGUUAAAUCCUUUAAUCCGUGGAGGACCACCGGUUGCGAAGGCGUUUACCUGGAACGAGUCUGACGGUGAGGGACGAAAGCCGGGGGAGCAAAUGGG